UUCUGCUGGGCCAAUGAGUAGCAUUGCCUCACAAGAAACAGCGGUUGGAGGGCAGGCCAGUGGUUCCCUAACUUUCUGAUCCCGGAGGUGGCCCUGCUGUUCUCGUCUGCAACUUGCAACUGUUCAUGCCUGUGCAUCAUAGGCAGAUGGGCAGCAGGAGGGAGGAUCAUUGAGUCAGCCUAGACCCACGCACAGACGAGGAGAGAACCCAGCUUAACCACGGUCCCGUUAAUUGUGAAGGGGAAGGCAGUAGGUCAGAGGUGAAGAAAGAUCUAGAACCAAGAGGAUGUUCAAAAGGAAUGAAAGAGUGAUGCCCUCUAGCCUGAGGGAGAGUUUGAGGAGGGGGAUAGCUUGCCAGAGGACCUGAGUGUGGAAUCAAAAGAAGCUGACAAUGACCCUUGGGCUUUUCCAGUGGUUACCACAACACCAUUUCCUGCCGCCUGGAGGGAAGACAGAGUAAUUGUUGGCAGCAAGAGAGUGGAACCUGGAGACGAUGUGGGCAUGCUGAUUUUCAAAGGAAAAGAUCUGAGCCUCCGCCUUAAGAGGCAGACUCACCCUCUCCAACCUAGCGGAGGUGAAUGUUGCCCCCCAGCUCCUCAGACACCCGCUUGGUACUACUAGGCUUGUUCUCCAGGCUUACCAGAAGAGUACCCCUUACUCUAACCCAACAUCCUCAAUGAUUAUCACCCCUGCCUCCUACCUCCCAUGUCCACCUCCAUGGCAGGGCCCCCACAGAAGCAAAACAUAGUCACCUUAGACUCUGGCAUACUGAAGCCAGGCCCUGAUCCUGUCAGCUCACCUUCCUGCCAACUUGUAUUUAAUAAAAAUAUCGUUAAAUGGUAUUCGUGUGUCUAAAGUACUGUUUAAGUAUUUGUUGUUUCAAACUGUAUCAUUAAAUUAUAUUCUUCUUU